rnacentral:lncRNA from 1 species
AAUUACCAUCGUGGUCGUUGCAAUUCCAGAAGGUCUUCCUUUGGCAGUGACCCUAACUUUGGCCUAUUCUAUGAAGCAAAUGAUGGCUGAGCAUGCAAUGGUCAGAAAACUUUCAGCUUGCGAGACGAUGGGUUCAGCCACAACAAUCUGCACAGAUAAGACAGGUACCCUUACUUUAAAUGAAAUGAAGGUUAUGGAGUUUUGGCUAGGGAAAGAAUUAAUGGGCAGUAUUUCCUCAGAAAUAGCACCUAAUGUCCAUAAGUUACUGCAACAAGCGGUUGCUCUCAACACAACCGGUACUGUUUAUAAGCCAAACUCUAGAUCACUUCCUGAAAUUUCUGGUAGUCCAACUGAGAAAGCAAUUCUCUCUUGGGCUGUCUCAGAUUUGGGGAUG